ACUUAAUUAAUUCUUUUUCGCACAAUAGUUUCUACACCGGAAACUAUUGUGUACCUUUCACCGGAUCUAACCUUAUGUUAGAAUCUAGUUUUUUAUUCCUUCGCUUUUAUUUUUCUGUUUGAUUGAAGAAUUCAAGAACAAAUCCAACCGGUCUGUGGUGGAGUGUUCAAGACUGCUGUUAAUUACUCAGGUUCUUUAAUUAUUGUUUGAAUUUAUAUAUGCCCUGCUUUACUGUUUACUUAUAUUAUUUGCCUGAG
rnacentral:lncRNA from 1 species